AGGGUUCGGGUUACAGAGGAAGGUCCUGACAGUAGCAAUGUACCAAAAACAUGGAUAUAAAAUUAUACAUUUUUUCAUAAUUUAAUAUUAAGUCACACUAGCCAAAAAAUUCUUAGAAUAAAGUUGGGGUUUUUCCUUCAGCCGUUGUGGUUGCACUGUACCUUUAGGUUAUCUAGAUCUACAACGGCUGAAGGAAAAACCACGGAUUAAUUUCUCAGAAUAUUCGGCUGCUUAGUAUUAACAUUAAAAAUAUUUAUGUGUAAUAUUAAUUACCCUAUUUUUUUCAUUACAACUGUAAGGACCUUCCUCUCCAACCCUAACCCUACCCCUAGACUUUCUAUUGGAUUAAUACACGUUUUCAAGACCAGAACAUGUGUGCUCAUGUAGCUCUACGGGUUACGCCUGUGAUGUUCAGGACUCAUUCUUGUAUUUUACACUCUCUGAUGUUUUCUUUUCUUCAUGUCUAGUGUGUGAAUCAUUUCUGGUUUGUCUCUUCAGUGUCUCAUGUGGCCCUGCAGCUUCUCCUCCUCCACCUCCUCCUGAAGCCUUCAUCUUCUUCAUCAUCAGCUGCUCAGUGACUCUGUUGGACGUCUCACCGUGUGGCAGCAGCUCAGGAGUUUGCAGUCAACCAAGGCCGACUCAGAAUCACUCCCACCGGGAAGAUCUGUGAAGGAAGGUCCACCCAGCUGGUCCAGAAGCUCCGGUCCAGCAGAGCAGCGUCAGGAUGGAGACGUAACCGGUGUUGAUGUCACCGCCUUGACGAAUAGAAGAAAAGGGCAAAAUUUGCCAAAAAUCUUCGUGCCAGGGCGCCCGUGUGGCUCGGCGCGUUGGGCGGGCGACCCAUGUGCGGGGGCUGGUCCCCGGCGCGGCUGGCCCGGGUUCGAUUCCCGCUUGCGGCCCUUUGCUGCGUGUCUUCCCCUGACUCUUCUCCUGUUUCCUGUCUCUCUCACACUGCACCUAUCCAAUAAAGAGCCGAUAAAAGGGCCAAAAAAAAAUAACUUUAAAAAAAAAAUUCGUGCCUUCGUGCCUUCGUGCCUUCGUGCCUUCGUGCCUUCGUGCCUUCGUGCCUUCGUGCCUUCGUGCCUUCGUGCCUUCGUGCCUUCGUGCCUUCGUGCCUUCGUGCCUUCGUGCCUUCGUGCCUUCGUGCC